CCUACGGGAGGCAGCAGUGAGGAAUAUUGGUCAAUGGACGAGAGUCUGAACCAGCCAAGUAGCGUGAAGGAUGACUGCCCUAUGGGUUGUAAACUUCUUUUAUAUGGGAAUAAAAUGUUCCACGUGUGGGAUUUUGUAUGUACCAUAUGAAUAAGGAACGGCUAACUCCGUGCCAGCAGCCGCGGUAAUCCGGAGGAUCCGAGCGUUAUCCGGAUUUAUUGGGUUUAAAGGGAGCGUAGGUGGUUUGUUAAGUCAGUUGUGAAAGUUUGCGGCUCAACCGUAGAAUUGAAGUUGAAACUGGCAGUCUUGAGUACAGUAGAGGUGGGCGGAAUUCGUGGUGUAGCGGUGAAAUGCUUAGAUAUCACGAAGAACUCCGAUUGCGAAGGCAGUUCACUGGACUGCAACUGACACUGAGGCUCGAAAGUGUGGGUAUCAAACAGGAUUAGAUACCCUGGUAGUC
rnacentral:rRNA from 1 species